rnacentral:rRNA from 1 species
AUUGAACGCUGGCGGCAGGCCUAACACAUGCAAGUCGAGCGGAUGAAGGGAGCUUGCUCCUGGAUUCAGCGGCGGACGGGUGAGUAAUGCCUAGGAAUCUGCAUGGUAGUGGGGGAUAACGUCCGGAAACGGGCGCUAAUACCGCAUACGUCCUGAGGGAGAAAGUGGGGGAUCUUCGGACCUCACGCUAUCAGAUGAGCCUAGGUCGGAUUAGCUAGUUGGUGGGGUAAAGGCCUACCAAGGCGACGAUCCGUAACUGGUCUGAGAGGAUGAUCAGUCACACUGGAACUGAGACACGUUCCAGACUCCUACGGGAGGCAGCAGUGGGGAAUAUUGGACAAUGGGCGAAAGCCUGAUCCAGCCAUGCCGCGUGUGUGAAGAAGGUCUUCGGAUUGUAAAGCACUUUAAGUUGGGAGGAAGGGCAGUAAGUUAAUACCUUGCUGUUUUGACGUUACCAACAGAAUAAGCACCGGCUAACUUCGUG